rnacentral:rRNA from 1 species
GAUGAACGCUGGCGGCGUGCUUAACACAUGCAAGUCGAACGAGAAGUGAAGACGGAAACCUUCGGGCGGAAGGCUUUAUUUCGAGUGGCGGACGGGUGAGUAACGCGUGGGUAACCUGCCUCAUACAGGGGGAUAACAGUUGGAAACGACUGUUAAUACCGCAUAAGACCACAGCACCGCAUGGUGCGGGGGUAAAAACUCCGGUGGUAUGAGAUGGACCCGCGUUCGAUUAGCCAGUUGGCGGGGUAACGGCCCACCAAAGCGACGAUCGAUAGCCGAUCUGAGAGGAUGACCGGCCACAUUGGGACUGAGACACGGACCAAACUCCUACGGGAGGCAGAAGUGGGGAAUAUUGCACAAUGGGGGAAACACUGAUGCAGCGACGCCGCGUGAGUGAAGAAGUAUUUCGGUAUGUAAAGCUCUAUCAGAAGGGAAGAAAAUGACGGUACCUGAGUAAGAAGCCCCGGCUAACUACGUG